GUGAAUUUUAGGGUGCUCUACUUCGCGUAGAGGCCUGACCUCCACUUUCUAACCCUGUGCACUAUUUGGCUUGCGAGAACGAAAAGCUGCUUCACGGCGGCUUGGACUUUGAGCGAGCGGCUUCAUUUUAAACACUAGUUAAAGAAUGUAACCAAAAACAAAACUAAA
rnacentral:misc_RNA from 1 species